GUAAGAAUUUCAUUGCAUUUGCCAUAAAUAUUAUUUGUUUCUCAAAUUAUAAAGUAGUAAUGUUUAGUUCAGAUUACAUGACUAUUUCGUCGAGUAGUCAGUUUUUAUUUAUUAUAACUACCUAUUUAUUAUUUUGUAUUUCAUCAACUGAGCUUAACAAAGAAGAUGUAAAAGCAGUAAUUGGAAAUUUUGAGAAGUUCAUUAAAGACAUGAAAGCAGAAGUUCUGAAAGAGACUACACUUUCCAAAAAACCAGCAACUAAGCCCAAGAAUAAUCCUAUUGCAAAGCAUAAGCCACAAUUAAAAACGAAGACGCCAAAAAAUAAGCCCGCAUCGCAUCCAAAAAUGAUGAAACCUCCAAAACCAAACAUGAAGAUGGCACUGAAACCAAACAUGAGGAUGCUAUCGAACCAAAAAAAUAAGAUGCCAAAAGCACCACCACAAGCAAAAAGAUCAAACCUCAUUAAAAAGCCAGAUGCAGCAAAGAAAGCUCUUAGAUCUGAGUUUGUUAAAAAUAUCCGAGCGACAACCACCACAGAAGCAAUGAUAUUGAAACUUGUGUCUUAUUACGAAAAUAAAUACCACGUCGCAGAUAUAGAGGCUCUGUACAAAGUUCCAUCAGCCAAGCUAACCAAUUUACCAUCAAAUCUUAAGCAGAUGAGAGAAUCCAGGGUACCACAAUAGUAUUAAGUUUUGAUAAAUUAAAAGAUUUUGUAAGUACGAUUAGUUAGUUGAAUUUAAGAAAACCUUUUUUUAAUGUAAUAAAAGUUACAUAUAUUUUA